AUGACCGACGCGGGUCAAAGUGUAGUAUCCGUUCUUGUCAGCUUAAUAUCUGAUACGGGUUGUUUUCGGACCCAAGAUAUUAAAACUUAUUUUUGCAAGCUGGAUGGAGUGCUUGAAGCCUGCUUCACCUCAGCCGUGGGUCGGCCCGGUAUUCGACUAUCUUCGGGAUCGGCCCACGGCUU